GCUCCGGCUCCCGCUAUCGGAUGAGCCUAUGUCGGAUUAGCUGGUUGGUGAGGUAAUGGCUCACCAAGGCGACGAUCCGUAGCUGGUCUGAGAGGAUGAUCAGCCACAUCGGGACUGAGACACGGCCCGAACUCCUACGGGAGGCAGCAGUGGGGAAUAUUGGACAAUGGGGGGAACCCUGAUCCAGCCAUGCCGCGUGUGUGAAGAAGGCCCUCGGGUUGUAAAGCACUUUCAGUGAGGAAGAACGCCUGGUGGUUAAUACCCAUCAGGAAAGACAUCACUCACAGAAGAAGCACCGGCUAACUCCGUGCCAGCAGCCGCGGUAAUACGGAGGGUGCGAGCGUUAAUCGGAAUUACUGGGCGUAAAGCGCGCGUAGGUGGCUUGAUAAGCCGGUUGUGAAAGCCCCGGGCUCAACCUGGGAACGGCAUCCGGAACUGUCAAGCUAGAGUGCAGGAGAGGAAGGUAGAAUUCCCGGUGUAGCGGUGAAAUGCGUAGAGAUCGGNGNAGGAAUACCAGUGGCGAAGGCGGCCUUCUGGACUGACACUGACACUGAGGUGCGAAAGCGUGGGUAGCAAACAGGAUUAGAUACCCUGGUAGUCCACGCCGUAAACGAUGUCGACCAGCCGUUGGGUGCCUAGCGCACUUUGUGGCGAAGUUAACGCGAUAAGUCGACCGCCUGGGGAGUACGGCCGNNCAAGGUUAAAACUCAAAUGAAUUGACGGGGGCCCGCACAAGCGGUGGAGCAUGUGGUUUAAUUCGAUGCAACGCGAAGAACCUUACCUACUCCUGACAUCCUGCGAAUUUGGUAGAGAUACCUUAGUGCCUUCGGGAACGCAGAGACAGGUGCUGCAUGGCUGUCGUCAGCUCGUGUUGUGAAAUGUUGGGUUAAGUCCCGUAACGAGCGCAACCCUUGUCCUUAUUUGCCAGCGCGUAAUGGCGGGAACUCUAAGGAGACUGCCGGUGACAAACCGGAGGAAGGUGGGGACGACGUCAAGUCAUCGUGGCCCUUACGAGUAGGGCUACACACGUGCUACAAUGGUCGGUACAAAGGGUUGCCAACUCGCGAGAGUGAGCCAAUCCCGAAAAC
rnacentral:rRNA from 1 species